rnacentral:rRNA from 1 species
GACGAACUGUCCAAACGUUGUUCGGAAUCACUGGGCUUAAAGGGUGCGUAGGCGGUCUGGUAAGUCGGGGGUGAAAUCCUGCAGCUCAACUGCAGAAGUGCCUUCGAUACUGCCAGUCUGGAGGGAGAUAGGGGUGUGCGGAACUUCCAGUGGAGCGGUGAAAUGCGUUGAUAUUGGAAGGAACGCCGGAGGCGAAAGCGGCGCACUGGAUCUCUUCUGACGCUGAGGCACGAAAGCUAGGGGAGCAAACGGG